AUCGCGGUAGUUCAGUUGGUGGAACGUCUGCUUAACAUUUCUGUCCGCAGGAGGUCGUCAAUUCAAGUUCGGCCCAGAUC